rnacentral:rRNA from 1 species
GACGAACGCUGGCGGCGUGCCUAAUACAUGCAAGUUGAGCGCUGAAGGUUGGUACUUGUACCAACUGGAUGAGCAGCGAACGGGUGAGUAACGCGUGGGGAAUCUGCCUUUGAGCGGGGGACAACAUUUGGAAACGAAUGCUAAUACCGCAUAAAAACUUUAAACACAAGUUUUAAGUUUGAAAGAUGCAAUUGCAUCACUCAAAGAUGAUCCCGCGUUGUAUUAGCUAGUUGGUGAGGUAAAGGCUCACCAAGGCGAUGAUACAUAGCCGACCUGAGAGGGUGAUCGGCCACAUUGGGACUGGGACACGGCCCAAACUCCUACGGGAGGCAGCAGUAGGGAAACUUCGGCAAUCGACGAAAGUCUGACCGAGCAACGCCGCGUGAGGGAAGAAGGGUUUCGGGUCGUAAAACUCUGUUGGUAGAGAAGAAAGUUGGUGAGAGUGGAAAGCGCAUCAAGUGACGGUAACUACCCAGAAAGGGACGGCUAACUACGUG